UACAGAGGUCCCGAGCGUUGUUCGGAUUCACUGGGCGUAAAGGGUGCGUAGGUGGUGAGGUAAGUCGGAUGUGAAAUCUCCAGGCUCAACCUGGAAACUGCAUUGGAAACUACCUUGCUGGAGGAUUUGAGGGGGGAUUGGGAAUACUUGGUGUAGCAGUGAAAUGCGUAGAUAUCAAGUGGAACACCAGUGGCGAAGGCGAAUCCCUGGAAAAUACCUGACACUGAGGCACGAAAGCUAGGGGAGCAAACAGG
rnacentral:rRNA from 1 species